GUUUUUUGUAAAUACGAAAGGGAACAAAUUAAGAUCAGUCACUAAUGACCUCAGCCGUCUGCAUACACACUACAAUCUCCCGAACGUGACCAGCCAAACCAUCAGGAGGUCCGUUGAAACAGAGUCCAGCGAGUGCUUCACCGACGUGCGUGGAUAAUGUUUGCAGGAUGAUCAGAUUCCUCCAGC